rnacentral:rRNA from 1 species
GUGGGGAAUAUUGGGCAAUGGAGGAAACUCUGACCCAGCGACGCCGCGUGCGGGAUGAAGGCCUUCGGGUUGUAAACCGCUUUCAGUAGGGAAGAAGCGAAAGUGACGGUACCUACAAAAGAAGCACCGGCUAACUAUGUGCCAGCAGCCGCGGUAAUACAUAGGGUGCAAGCGUUGUCCGGAAUUAUUGGGCGUAAAGAGCUCGUAGGUCGUUUGUUACGUCGGAUGUGAAAACCUGAGGCUCAACCUCAGGCCUGCAUUCGAUACGGGGCAAACUAGAGUUUGGUAGGGGAGACUGGAAUUCCUGGUGUAGCGGUGGAAUGCGCAGAUAUCAGGAGGAACACCAAUGGCGAAGGCAGGUCUCUGGGCCAAUACUGACACUGAGGAGCGAAAGUCUGGGGAGCGAACAGGAUU